UACGGAGGGGGCUAGCGUUGUUCGGAAUGACUGGGCGUAAAGGGCGUGUAGGCGGUUGAUCAAGUCAGACGUGAAAGCCUUGGGCUUAACCGCAGAACGGCGUUUGAGACUGGUUGACUUGAGGACGAGAGAGGAAAGUAGAAUUCCGAGUGUAGAGGUGAAAUUCGCAGAUAUUCGGAGGAAGACCAGAGGCGAAGGCGUCUUUCUGGCUCGUUUCUGACGCUGAGGCGCGAAAGCGUGGGGAGCAAACAGG
rnacentral:rRNA from 1 species